UACGUAGGGGGCAAGCGUUGUCCGGAUUUAUUGGGCGUAAAGCGCGUGUAGGCGGCCAGAUAGGUCUGCUGUGAAAACUCGAGGCUCAACCUCGAGCUGUCGGCGGAAACCAUCUGGCUAGAGUCCGGAAGAGGAGAGUGGAAUUCCUGGUGUAGCGGUGAAAUGCGCAGAUAUCAGGAAGAACACCUAUGGCGAAGGCAGCUCUG
rnacentral:rRNA from 1 species